AGAGUUUGAUUCUGGCUCAGGAUGAACGCUAGCGACAGGCUUAACACAUGCAAGUCGAGGGGCAGCGGGAUUGAAGCUUGCUUCAAUUGCCGGCGACCGGCGCACGGGUGAGUAACACGUAUGCAACCUGCCCGCCACAGGGGAAUAACCGGAAGAAAUUCCGACUAAUUCCGCGUAACACCUCAGGGAGGCAUCUCCCCGAGGUCAAAGGAGCAAUCCGGUGGCGGAUGGGCAUGCGGCGCAUUAGCUAGUCGGCGGGGUAACGGCCCACCGAGGCGACGAUGCGUAGGGGUUCUGAGAGGAAGGUCCCCCACACUGGUACUGAGACACGGACCAG
rnacentral:rRNA from 1 species